CUUAGUAAUAAUGAAGUCCAUAUCUGCAAGGAGAUAAGGCCAGUGUUGUAGAGAGGUCCUGCCUUCAUUCAACAGCCGUUGUGUGUGAUUCCAAAUGCUCAUUAUCAUAAGAGAGGAACUAACCUAUGAACUCAAAAAGAUUAUUGAGCAUGCAAAAGAACAAAAAAAUCACUUCAAUCAAGGUGGUCCAUGCGAAUGGAAGGGAACCAGGUUUGACACAGUAUAAAGAUGCUCUGCUGAUAACAAACCUGCCUGAUGGACCUGCGACGCAUUGCAAACUAUGUAAAUUAGUGUUGAGGAAGGAUACUAAGCUCCAAAACCCAAACCUCUUCUUGCUCCAAUCGCUACGUCAAAUCUGACACCGCUGUUUCUCCUCCUGUUUGUACAAAGGACAGCUCAAGAAUCUUUGUUUGGUUUCAGCAUAAUGUAGACGCAGGUUAUCAUCAAACACUUUUUGUGGUCACGGAGCCAAUUGAGUUGGUGAAACUAUGUGCUGAUGAAUCCAUGGCUUGGUGGGCAGAAUAACCAAACCACAUGGAGGGAUUAAGUCACUGCAGUGUCUCUGGGGAACCCAAGCACCUCGUUGUCUUGUCUUCCUUCCUCCGGUUGCAGCGUUCGUCAAGCUGCUGAUACCUCGAUGAAGAUAAGUUAAAAGUUGGAGAAAGUUGUCAUUGAUGAGAGGGGCUUCGCCCAGCCGUGUGGGAGUCGGCAGCAGCUAGUGUGGCUUUGAAUCAGUGACAGCAGCAGCUUGCAUGUGCUGUAGGCUUGUAGCUCCUGACUACCACACAACUCAAGUAAUAACAGCUUCUCCAAGACCUUUUGACUCCAUGGAAUCAGGUUUCCCGGCUUUCAUGAAUCAGGGGGCAGCUCCAAAACCAAGUGCUGCCUGUUCUACUGGACUCACAGUUCCUCACAUGAAAUUGCUUUUAGGAGCAGUGAAGGUUUCUGUUGCGGGAGCAGCCACUCCUGGCACCAGUUUGUCCCACUUUUAUAUGCCUAUUAUGCACUGGGGGGAUUAUUACAGAUUCCAGGAUGAAUAUUAAUACAGUGAAUAUGUAAA